rnacentral:rRNA from 1 species
AACGGAGGGGGCUAGCGUUGUCCGGAAUUACUGGGCGUAAAGGGCGUGUAGGCGGUAAUGUAAGUCUGAUGUGAAAAUCCUUGGCUCAACCUUGGGAAGUCGUUUGAAACUGUCUGUCUUGAGUGCUGGAGAGGAAAGCGGAAUUCCCGGUGUAGGGGUGAAAUGCGUAGAUAUCGGGAGGAACGCCAGUGGCGAAGGCGGCUUUCUGGACCGUAACUGACGCUGAGGCGCGAAAGCGUGGGGAGCAAACAGG